AUACGUAGGGAGCAAGCGUUAUCCGGAUUUAUUGGGUGUAAAGGGUGCGUAGACGGAUAAACAAGUUAGUUGUGAAAUACCUCGGCUUAACUGAGGAACUGCAACUAAAACUAUAUAUCUUGAGUACUGGAGGGGAAAGCGGAAUUCCUAGUGUAGCGGUGAAAUGCGUAGAUAUUAGGAAGAACACCGGUGGCGAAGGCGGCUUUCUGGACAGCAACUGACGCUGAGGCGCGAAAGCGUGGGGAGCAAACAGGAUUAGAUACCCUGGUAGUCCACGCCGUAAACGAUGGAUACUAGGUGUGGGGGGACUGACCCCUUCCGUGCCGCAGUAAACACAAUAAGUAUCUCACCUGGGGAGUACGACCGCAAGGUUGAAACUCAAAGGAAUUGACGGGG
rnacentral:rRNA from 1 species